AUUGAACGCUGGCGGCAGGCCUAACACAUGCAAGUCGAACGAGUGGCGGACGGGUGUGUAAUGUCUGGGACACUGCCCGAUGGCGGGGGAUAACUAAUGGAAACGGUAGCUAAUACCGCAUACCAUCAGAUGUGCCCAGAUGGGAUUAGCUAGUAGGUGGGGUAACGGCUCACCUAGGAGACGAUCCCUCGCUGGUAUUAGAGGAUGACCAGCCACACUGGAACUGAGACACGGUCCAGAAUCCUAAGGGAGGCAGCAGUGGUGAAUAGUGCACAAUGGGCGCAAGCCUGAUGCAGCCAUGCCGCGUGUAUGAAGAAGGCCUUCGGGUUGUAAAGUACUUUCAGCGAGGAGGCGUUACUCGCAGAAGAAGCACCGGCUAACUCCGUGCCAGCAGCCGCGGUAAUAC
rnacentral:rRNA from 1 species